ensembl:lncRNA
AAGCGCCCCAAGCCUGAUCCCGGCCCUCUCAUGCCUCUCUGACCACCAGGCCGGCCGGGUAUGGGCCCAGCACGCCAGCGCCAUCCAUUUUCAGGGCUAAUUGAUUUGGCAGUUCUUGAAUCUUCUUGUACCUGAUGUGAACGGAACUGAAGGGCUGAUGACUCAGGGUCACACCUUUUGUGAACGAAGGAGAGAGGGGUCCCAGAUGUUCCUGGUUCCAGAUGACACCAGAGGUUUAUGCCAAGCCGAGGACUGUCAUUAAUGCUGUUCCAAAGAGGCAGUUAUACAGUGGUGGUCAUGUGUGGAUGUGAGAGUUGGACUGUGAAGAAAACUGAGCACUGAAGAAUUGAUGCUUUUGAACUGUGGUGUUGGAGAAGACUCUUGAGAGUCCCUUGGACUGCAAGGAGAUCCAACCAGUCCAUUCUGAAGGAGCUCAGCCCUGGGAUUUCUUUGGAAGGGAUGAUGCUGAAGCUGAAACUCCAGUACUUUGGCCACCUCAUGCGAAGAGUUGACUCAUUGGAAAAGACUCUGAUGCUGGGAGGGAUUGGGGGCAGGAGGAGAAGGGGACGACAGAGGAUGAGAUGGCUGGAUGGCAU